CCUACGGGAGGCAGCAGUAGGGAACCUUCCACAAUGGGCGAAAGCCUGAUGGAGCAACGCCGCGUGAGUGAUGAAGGCCUUCGGGUUGUAAAACUCUGUCAUUCGGGACGAACCGGAGUCUGAGGAAAUGCAGACUCUCUGACGGUACCGGAGGAGGAAGCCCCGGCUAACUACGUGCCAGCAGCCGCGGUAAUACGUAGGGGGCAAGCGUUGUCCGGAUUCACUGGGCGUAAAGCGCGCGCAGGCGGUGAUGUAAGUCUGAGGUGAAAACCCGAAGCUCAACUUCGGGACUGCCUUGGAUACUGCGUCACUUGAGGAUAGGAGAGGCAAGGGGAAUUCCACGUGUAGCGGUGAAAUGCGUAGAGAUGUGGAGGAACACCUGUGGCGAAGGCGCCUUGCUGGCCUAUUUCUGACGCUGAGGCGCGAAAGCGUGGGGAGCAAACAGGAUUAGAUACCCUGGUAGUCCACGCUGUAAACGAUGAGUGCUAGGUGUAGGUGGGCUCAUACCCNUCUGUGCCGAAGCUACGCAUAGCNCNCCGCCGUGGGAGGUACGGUCGCGAGACGUAGAACGUACGAAGUAGUAGUUAGACGGCGUUGAGACGNGCGACGGACGACGACGAGGGAGGUUAGG
rnacentral:rRNA from 1 species